GACGAACGCUGGCGGCGCGCCUAACACAUGCAAGUCGAACGGAGUCAAGAGGAGCUUGCUUUUCUUGACUUAGUGGCGAACGGGUGAGUAACGCGUGAGUAACCUGCCCUGGAGUGGGGGACAACAGUUGGAAACGACUGCUAAUACCGCAUAAGCCCACGGAUCUGCAUGGAUCUGCGGGAAAAGGAUUUAUUCGCUCUAGGAUGGACUCGCGUCCAAUUAGCUAGUUGGUGAGGUAACGGCCCACCAAGGCGACGAUUGGUAGCCGGACUGAGAGGUUGAACCGCCACAUUGGGACUGGGACACGGCCCAGACUCCUACGGGAGGCAGGAGUGGGGGAUAUUGCACAAUGGGGGAAACCCUGAUGCAGCGACGGCGCGUGGAGGAAGAAGGUUUUCGGAUUGUAAACUCCUGUCGUUAGGGACGAUAAUGACGGUACCUAACAAGAAAGCACCGGCUAACUACGUG
rnacentral:rRNA from 1 species